rfam:Anabaena sp. CRKS33 602, whole genome shotgun sequence.
GCCGAUGUGGCUCAGGGGUAGAGCAACUGAUUCGUAAUCAGUAGGUCGUGGGUUCAAAUCCCAUCAUCGGCU